rfam:Toxocara canis scaffold957, whole genome shotgun sequence.
GCGGCAAUAGCUCAGUGGUAGAGCCCCGCUUCGCGUGCGGGGAGACCCGGGUUCGAUUCCCGGCUGCUUCC